CCUUAAAGCUGGUGGAUAUAUGCGCAAAUUACAAGAUAUGAGGACACAAAAGAUCAGGGCACGUAUCUCUCCAUGGUAAAAUGGAUAUCAUACAAUCAUUGGGCCAGGUAGGCUUCCAACGGAUUGCCUUUUGAAGUGAUCUUUUUCUACUCGACGCCGAGACAGCUUUACAGAAGCCAAACUGGCAGACAGCGAUGGGACCUGGCCUACUAAUCCAUGUCGGUAGUAUUCCAAUUUAGUCGGGAUCAACUAUAAAGUUUUAUCGCUAUACCAUGUAGCCUGGUGCAUCGACCUCAUUGGUAGACGUCUGGACAGGUUAUGGAUAGGAUCUGACUACGAGUCAUAAUACGUAUCCAGACACUUGACCGGAUGUUCGGUCCCCGCAAAGAAGGAAAAGGACGUAUCCUCAGGUCAUUGGCCCUUCAUCACCCCGAAAUACCACAGAGAAACAGACUCGCUUGUCACCAUUCAUAUUGUGCAAGAGCCGCCAAAGCCCAAAGCCGAUCUGAUGGUCCUCCUGCUGGUGCGGAGUAGCCAACUUGGCACCAUGGCUGUGUCGUGGCUGUGUAUCGUCUGGAUUUUUGGUAAGAAUACAACUAAAUAUGCUAAGAUAAAUAAUCUGAAUAUUUUGUCAUAUCUUAUCUACCGUUUAUUUCAAGUAAGAUAUUUUAAUGUCAGAUUGAAUCCAUUGUUUGGUAGAAUCUAGAUAUCAAUGUAAAUUACAUAUAUGCCC
rnacentral:lncRNA from 1 species